rnacentral:rRNA from 1 species
GACGAACGCUGGCGGCGUGCUUAACACAUGCAAGUCGAACGGAAAGGCCCUGCUUUUGUGGGGUGCUCGAGUGGCGAACGGGUGAGUAACACGUGAGUAACCUGCCCUUGACUUUGGGAUAACUUCAGGAAACUGGGGCUAAUAUCGGAUAGGAGCUCCUGCUGCAUGGUGGGGGUUGGAAAGUUUCGGCGGUUGGGGAUGGACUCGCGGCUUAUCAGCUUGUUGGUGGGGUAGUUGCUUACCAAGGCUUUGACGGGUAGCCGGCCUGAGAGGGUGACCGGCCACAUUGGGACUGCGAUACGGACCAGACUCCUACGGGAGGCAGCAGUGGGGAAUAUUGCGCAAUGGGCGGAAGCCUGAUGCAGCGACGCCGCGUGCGGGAUGACGGCCUUCGGGUUGUAAACCUCUUUCGCCGGUGACGAAGCGUGAGUGACGGUAAUGGGUAAAGAAGCACCGGCUAACUACGUG